GAGUUUGAUCCUCGGCUCAGGAUAAACGCUGGCGGCGCACAUAAGACAUGCAAGUCGAACGGACUUAACUCAUUCUUUUAGUUUGAGAGCGGUUAGUGGCGGACUGGUGAGUAACACGUAAGCAACCUGCCUAUUAGAGGGGAAUAACAGUGAGAAAUCAUUGCUAAUACCGCAUAUGUUAACAGUAUCGCAUGAUACAGUUAGGAAAGGAGCAAUCCGCUAAUAGAUGGGCUUACGUCUGAUUAGUUAGUUGGUGGGGUAACGGCCUACCAAGACUACGAUCAGUAGCCGGACUGAGAGGUUGAACGGCCACAUUGGGACUGAGAUACGGCCCAGACUCCUACGGGAGGCAGCAGUCGGGAAUAUUGCGCAAUGGAGGAAACUCUGACGCAGUGACGCCGCGUAUAGGAAGAAGGUUUUCGGAUUGUAAACUAUUGUCGUUAGGGAAGAUAAAAGACUGUACCUAAGGAGGAAGCCCCCGGCUAACUAUGUG
rnacentral:rRNA from 1 species